rnacentral:lncRNA from 1 species
CUCUUCUGGCACCCCAGGGUGGCCUUGUUGUCUGUUUCCCGGCCGAGUUUGUGUUUUGCUGGCUCGCGGAGUUUUCUCCUGGCUACGGGCGAGGGUUGCGCGUUUCAGGAAAAACUGAGUGGGGCACUGUUUGUUUGUUUGUUUGUUUUUUGAUAGGAUCUCAGUUUGUCAUCCAGUCUGGAGUGUAGCGGCGGGAUCUCAGCUCACUGCAGCCUCAACCUCUGGGACUCAAGCCAUCCCCCUGCCUCAGCCUCCCAAGUAGCUAGGAUUACAGGGCGCGCCAUCAAGGCCAGUUUUAUUUUUUGUAGAGGUGGGGUCUGUGUUGCCCAGGCUGCUCUCGAACUCCUGGCUUCACAUGGUCUCCCAUUUCGACCUCCCAAAGUGCUCCGAUUAUAGGCGUGAGACACCACCGCCCAACCUGUUGUUGUUUUGGUGGUAUUGUUUUUAAUUUAAUUUAGAGACAGGAUCUCGCUUUGUCACCCGGGUUGGAGUGCAGUGGUGCCAUCAUAGCUCACUGCAGCCUCAACUCCCAGGCUCAAGCGAUCUUCCCACCUCAGCCUGAGUAGCUGAGACCACAUGCAUGCACCACCAUGCCCAGAUAAUUAAAAUAUAUAUAUAUAUAUAUAUAUAUAUAGAGAGAGAGAGAGAGAGAGAGAGAGAGAGAGAGUUAGAGAGUAGAGACAGGGUCUCACUUUGUUGCCCCAGCUGGUCUCGAACUCUUGGCAUCAAGGGAUCCUCCUGCCUCUGUUACUGGAUGGAAGGUCUUGACCGUGGAUUGCCCAGGUUCUUGGCGUGUUGAACAAAGAAUUGAACAAAAUGCACAAAGUAGCAAAAGAACAAAGCAACGAAAAGAAACAAAAGAAAAAACCGGAGUAAGGAAGAGACAGAUUUAUUGAAGCGAAAGUACAAUUCACACAGCAGGAGCGGGAUAGAGCAAACGGUUCGAUAGCACCCGUCAGGAUUUUUAUUAAGCUGGAAGAAUUAGGUAACGCCCCUAGGUGCCCGUUAGAUGCCUCCGAUUGGUUACACCCUCUGAAGGAUUGGCCUGUGACCAAUCAGAGGCUGAAGUGGAGACUUGCGCACCACCACCCACCCCCCGCCGUCAAUCAGAAGCUGUCACCCUCCCCCCGCCCCCCUCUCCGCCUGAUUGACGGAAUGAACACGUGGCCUCCAUGCUGCCUAAUCUUGCCUAGAACUGGCUGCACCUGCUGUUCUUUUGUUUCUGCCUUAACCCUUGGUUACCCUCAUGCCCUAUUCUGCCUCACCUGGCCUCCCAAAGUGCUGGGAUUACGGAUGUGAGCCACCCACACCUGGCCCAUUGUUUUGUUUUUAGUUUAUUUAAAAAGUAUUUUAUUCUAAGACAGCACUUUGCUCUGUUGUCCAGGCUGGAGUGCAGCGGCCAGAUCAUAGCUCACUGCAGCCUGGAACUCCUGGGCUCAAGUGAUCCUCCCACCUCAGCCUCCCGAAUAGCUGGGACCACAGGUGCAUGCCACCAUGGCUGGCUAAUUUUUAAAUUUUUCGUAGAGCUGGGGUCUCACUAUGUUAACCCAGGCUGGUCUCGAACUCCUGGGCUCAAGUGAUCCACUGGCCUUGGGCUCUCCAAGUGCUGGGAUUAUAGGCAUAAGCCCCUGUGCCAUGGCAGUUUUUUUGUAGAAGGAAAUGUAAAGACACAAAGGAAGCCUCAUUUAGAAAGAAACAAGGCUGGGCACGGUGGCUCAUGCCUGUAAUCCCAGCACUUUGGGAGGCCAAGGUGGGUGAAUCACUUGAGGCCUGGAGUUCCAGACCAGCCCCGUCUCUACUAAAAUACAAAAAACUAGCCAGGCGUGGUGGCACAUGCCUGUGGUUCCAGCUACUUGGGAGGCUUGAGGCAGGAG